AAUGCGGCUAUUACGAAAUAAUCGAAGAAUAAGAAAAAUGCGCAAUACGACACAGGAACACACACAAUCAGACACAUAUGCAAAUUUAUGUAGAUAUGUAUUCAUUCAUUUCUUCAAGUAUACAAUAAAUGCACAUGUGUAUGUCUUAAGUAUUUACCAACACUGCAUAGUAUAUAUUAUCCCUUUUGUGUGCAGCGCAGCCAUUCUUCAGAAAUGCCUUAUUUAGAACGCCAGCAACAAAAUAUUACGGGCAAAGAGAGACUACAAAUCCCAAUGCAUAGCUGCAACCGCAUUGAAGUCACAGCCUGUAUCAAACAGUAGGUUUAUUGGUCAUUGGUCAGUCAAUAAACCAGAAACUGUUCUUUCGCACUCUCACUCUUUCUUUCUCUCUUGAUCAAGCUCUCACACUCUUUGUUCGGUUGAACAAUUUGCGCAGUUGCCAGCCAUAGCAGCGACAAUAUUAGCAGCAACACCAACGAACGGAUUGAACCAAAUUUGCGACGUUCAUUAUUUGAAUUGUACAUGCAAUAAAACUUUGAAAAUGAUUUUGAAACUGAUCGGACGGUAAACAAACAACUUUCAUAUAUCAUGGAACUUCCCAAAUCGCUGAAACACAUAAAAAACUCUUGAGGAACUUUGAAAAUUAGUUUUAAAUUGCCCUUUCCACCGAGAAAGCUUUGAUUUUGCGAAAAAUGUGAAACACGUCUCAACUGAUAUUUUAUGUAUAUAAUCCAUGGAAAUGAAUUUGAGGCCGGAACGCCACCUACCAAAUCUUUGACCACCAUUUUCACCAAGGAGGGAUGAAUUUUCCAAAAAUGGCGAAAUGCCCUUCAAAUUAAUUUUGACAAAGAACUUUGAAAAUGAAUUUGAGGACGGAUGGUAAACAAAAAAGAAUCAUACAAACGUUCUCGCGAUUUUUCCAUACUUGCGGCUAGAAUUUUCGAAAACCGCAGUCUUUCCGUGCACCUACGCCACAUAGGUAACUACAGUAAAAAAUGCAGUCAAUCAGUCAGUUAAAAGUUUGGCAUAAAUAAAGUAAUAAUAUUUGAUAAAAAUUCUAUUUACUUGUUGGUUUUGUCUUUUGGGACUUAUUUCGUUUCAAAUAAAAAAGCUUGCAUAAUAA